UUAUUGUGUUUUAUCUAGAUGA
rnacentral:siRNA from 1 species